rnacentral:lncRNA from 1 species
AAACAAACAUUUUUCUACCCAGAACUACGUAAGCCUUGAUUUCUCUGUUGAGAUACGUAGGAGCAGGAUUUAUAAAUCUUGUCAGGCCCACUAAUAAAAAACUUAGGUUUAGUCCUUCGUCAAUAGCCUUGAUUUCUCUGUUGAGAUACGUAGGAGCAGGAUUUAUAAAUCUUGUCAGGCCCACUAAUAAAAAACUUAGGUUUAGUCCUUCGUCAAAAAUCCAAA